rnacentral:lncRNA from 1 species
UGAGACCAAGAUUGUUUUGAUAUCUAUUAACCUAAAUGAAGCAACAAUAUUUCUUGCCACGUUGCAAAAAAUCCUUCAUCCUCAUAAUAAUAAUAUAAUAUAUAAUAUAAUAUAAUAAUUUAUUAAUCCCUCUCCUUUCCAACUAUACAUUAUAGUAUAUAAUUCAUUAAUAUUUCUUGAUUAAUUCUAUAACCUAAAUGAAGCCACAAUGUUUCUUGCCACGUGGCAAGAAACCCUUCAUCCUCAUAAUAAUAAUAUAAUAUAUAAUAUAAUAUAAUAAUCUAUUAAUCUCUCUUCUCCCCAACUAUACGUUAUAGUAUAUGAUUCAUUAAUGUUUCUUGAAUUAAUUUUAUAUUAACGAUUCAUCUAUUAACUAUAAUGUUUCAUCUAUUAAUUCUAUUUUUUUUUUUUUUUUUGUAAUAGCUCUCUCUCCCCCACCCCUUCCCCUCCCCUUUCCUUCCCAACUAUACGUUAUUGGCUAUAUAGUAUAUGAUUCAUUAAUAUUUCAUCAAUUAUUUGUAUAUUAAUGUUUCAUCAAUUAAUAAUAAUUAUAAUCAUAAUUGAUUACUAAACCAACUUUGAAUACGCCUUUACCUUUUCGUACGUAUAUAACCACCAUUUCAUUCUUUCAUUCUGCUAAUUUUUUUUAUAAAAUUUUAAAAUAUAUUUACCUAAUAUGUAAAAUAAUUAGAUUUUAAAUUUAGGUUCUCAGUAUCAAUCAUUACAAAAUUAAUUUUAUUUGAAUGUUCUUACGCCGAUUCUCCUCUACACAUAUCGCCUUUGCAAUUUCCAUGCCAUCGAUCCCAUCCGUGAGUAUUUUUUUUUUUCAAAUAUAACAAAUUUUUUAUAUAGAUUUGAGUGAUUUGGUGAGAAUUAACAACAUUUUGUGGUUAAUUAGAAUUUUUUUGGUUCAAUUUGAGUGAUUUGACAUGAAUAUGUGACAUUUUGAAAUGCUAUAUGUUAUAGAGAUGCUAUAUGUUAUUUGCACAAUUAUUGUUCGUACUACAUUACACCUUCCAAACUAAAUGAAUGAACAAUUUAUAUUGUAUAUAUUAGUAUAAUUCUAUAUACUCUAAUUAGGAUUUACUUAAAAUAUUUUUUUUUCUGUUGCAUUGAUUGCUAUAUAAUUAUCUAUAUUGUACUCUUUUUGACAUACUAAUAUUUUAUUUAGUUAUAUUAAUAUUUUAUUAUUUAUAAAUUUUUUAUUUUAACGGUAACUAUCCCCCGUAUCGCGCAGGUGCCUAUACUAGUAUAAAAAUUAAUGGUGAAUAAAUA